rnacentral:rRNA from 1 species
CCUGGUUGAUCCUGCCAGUAGUAUAUGCUUGUCUCAAAGAUUAAGCCAUGCAUGUCUCAGUGCAAGCCAGAUUAAGGUGAAACCGCGAAUGGCUCAUUACAUCAGUUAUGGUUCCUUAGAUCGUACCCACAUUACUUGGAUAACUGUGGCAAUUCUAGAGCUAAUACAUGCAAAUAGAGUUCCGACCAGAGAUGGAAGGAAUGCUUUUAUUAGAUCAAAACCAAUCGGUGGCGGGCUUGCCUUGCUCACCGUUUGACUUGGUGACUCUGAAUAACUUUGUGCUGAUCGCAAGGUCUAGUACCGGCGACGCAUCUUUCAAAUGUGUGCCUUAUCAACUGUCGAUGGUAGUUUCUGCGACUACCAUGGUUGUUACGGGUAGAACGGGGAAUCAGGGUUCGAUUUCGGAGAGGGAGCCUGAGAAACGGCACGGGAAGGUAGUGACGCAAAAUAACGAUACGGGACUCAUCCGAGGCCCCGUAAUCGGAAUGAGUACACUUUAAAUCCUUUAACGAGGAUCUAUUAGAGAGCCAGUCUGGAGCCAGCAGCCGCGAUAAUUCCAGCUCUAAUAGCGUAUAUUAAAGUUGUUGCGGUUAAAAAGCUCGUAGUUGAAUCUGUGUCCCACACUGUCGGUUCACCGCUCGCGGUGUUCAACUGGCAUGUCUGUGGGACGUCCUACCGGUGGGUUUAGCCCGUAAAAAGGCGGCUCAACUCAAAAUCCUACCAAGGUGCUAUUCACCGAGUGUCGAGGUGGGCCGGUACGUUUACUUUGAACAAAUUAGAGUGCUUAAAGCAGACUCAUUCGCCUGAAUAUUGUGUGCAUGGAAUAAUGGAAUAGGACCUCGGUUUUAUUUUGCUGGUUUUCGGAAGUCCGAGGUAAUGAUCAAUAGGGACAACUGGGGGCAUUAGUAUUGCGACGUUAGAGGUGAAAUUCUUGGAUCGUCGCAAGACGGAGAGAAGCGAAAGCAUUUGCCAAAUGUGUUUUCAUCAAGAACGAAAGUUAGAGGUUCGAAGGCAAUCAGAUACCGCCCUAGUUCUAACCAUAAACGAUGCCAGCUAGCGAUCCGCCGAAGUUCCUCCGAUGACUCGGCGGGCAGCUUCCGGGAAACCAAAGCUUUUGGGUUCCGGGGGAAGUAUGGUUGCAAAGCUGAAACUUAAAGGAAUUGACGGAAAGGCACUACAAGGAGUGGAGCCUACGGCUUAAUUUGACUCAACACGGGAAACCUCACCAGGUCCAGACACCGGAAGGAUUGACAGAUUGAGAGCUUUUUCUUGAUUCGGUGGGUGGUGGUGCAUGGCCGUUCUUAGUUGGUGGAGUGAUUUGUUUGGUUAAUUCUGAUAACGAAUGAGACUCUAGCCUGCUAAAUAGACAUACUUUCUGGUAUCGCAAAGACCUUCCGCUUCGGCUUUAGUCACACGAAAGGACAGGCGGCAUUUAGUCGCACGAAAUUGAGCAAUAACAGGUCUGUGUUGCCUUUAGAUGUUCUGGGCCGCACGCGCGCUACACUGAAGAGAUCAGCAGGUUUUCCUUGGCCGAAAGGUCCGGGUAAUCCGUUGAAGCCUCUUCGUGCUAGGGAUUGGGGCUUGCCAUUCUUCCCCAUGAACGAGGAAUUCCUAGUAAGCGCGAGUCAUAAGCUUGCGUUGAUUAUAUCCCUGCCCUUUGUACACACUGCCCGUCGCUACUACCGAUUGAAUUAUUUAGUGAGGUCUUCGGACCGGUGCGCGGCAGCGUUUCGACAUUGCCGAUGUUGCUGGGAAGAUAACCAAACUUGAUUAUUUGGAGGAAGUAAAAGUCGUAACUAGGUUUCCGUAGGUGAACCUGCGGAAG